AUGUUGACUCCAAAGGAUCCCACAGUUGUGUCAAGUUGGCUGGAUGUCAUUUGGGUAAGAGGCAACAUCUAGAAGAUCAGAGUGAGAAAAAUAAAUUAUAGCUUUCAUACGACCGUCCCCAGGGAACAUGAGAAAUAAUCUCUCGCCCUGGCUCCUUUCAUGAAAACACAUUUCAUUGAAUUUCGAAAGAAUGGAGGAAUACGUCCAUUGUUGUUGGAGGUCUGUAAACAGUGAGCAGAUGUAUGGUAGAAAAUACAGAAGGUACCCGAUUUUAAAUCAGGACUCAAUGCCAACCACUCCAUCUGUCAUUGUCUG
rnacentral:lncRNA from 1 species